CAGAAUAGUAUGACUGGCUCCUUAAAUGCACACGGAGAACUAAUAUAAAUGACAUGCAUGUCCAUCUCUCCUUUCUCAAAGUGGAGGAGAGAUUGACAUGCAUCACUAUUUGUCUUUAUGAGAGCUAUUGAUGUGUUAAAAGCACCGAACUCUCUGUUCAAACAGCUAGCACACAACACAGACAGCCAUGCAUACCCCACAAGACAUGCCCCCAGAGGUCUCUUCACAAUCCCCAAGUCCGGAACAGACUAUGGGAGGCACACAGUACUACAUAGAGCCAUGACUACAUGGAACUCUGUUCCACAUCAGGUGAAACCAAAAAAACUGCUAAAACUACACCUCACAGCACAACGCGGACUGUGAAGAGACACACACACACAUCCACAAACCAUAAUAUUGUAGAUUUUACAUUGUACAUUUGUAAUGAUGGAGCAGGGUAAUGUGUAAUGGUGGUUGAGGGUAAUGUGUAUUUGGUGGUGCAGGGUAAUGUGUAAUGGUGGUUGAGGGUAAUGUGUAAUGAUGGAGCAGGGUAAUGUGUAAUGAUGGAGCAGGGUAAUGUUUAAUGGUGGUGCAGGGUAAUCUGUAAUGGUAGAGCAGGGUAAUGUGUAAUGGUUGAGCAGGGUAAUGUGUAAUGAUGGUGCAGGGUAAUGUGUAAUGGUAGUUGAGGGUAAUGUGUAAUGAUGGAGCAGGGUAAUGUGUAAUGGUGGUUGAGGGUAAUGUGUAUUUGGUGGUGCAGGGUAAUGUGUAAUGGUGGUGCAGGGUAAUGUGUAAUGUGGAGCAGGGUAAUGUGUAAUGAUGGAGCAGGGUAAUGUGUAAUGAUGGAGCAGGGUAAUGUUUAAUGGUGGUGCAGGGUAAUCUGUAAUGGUAGAGCAGGGUAAUGUGUAAUGGUUGAGCAGGGUAAUGUGUAAUGAUGGUGCAGGGUAAUGUGUAAUGGUAGUUGAGGGUAAUGUGUAAUGAUGGAGCAGGGUAAUGUGUAAUGGUAGAGCAGGGUAAUGUGUAAUGGUGGUGCAGGGUAAUGUGUAAUGGUGGUGCAGGGUAAUGUGUAAUGUGGAGCAGGGUAAUGUGUAAUGAUGGUGCAGGGUAAUGUGUAUUGAUGGAGCAGGGUAAUGUGUAAUGGUGGAGCAGGGUAAUGUGUGUUGAUGGAGCAGGGUAAUGUGUAUUGAUGGAGCAGGGUAAUGUGUAAUGGUGGAGCAGGGUAAUGUGUAAUGAUGGAGCAGGGUAAUGUGUAAUGGUAGUUGAAGGUAAUGUGUGAUGAUGGAGCAGGGUAAUGUGUAAUGGUGGAGCAAGGUAAUGUGUAAUGAUGGAGCAGGGUAAUCUGUAAUGAUGGAGCAGGGUAAUGUGUAAUGGUGGAGCAAGGUAAUGUGUAAUGAUGGAGCAGGGUAAUCUGUAAUGAUGGAGCAGGGUAAUGUUUAAUGGUGGAGCAAGGUAAUGUGUAAUGAUGGAGCAGGGUAAUGUGUAGUGAUGGAGCAGGGUAAUGUUUAAUGGUGGAGCAAGGUAAUGUGUAAUGAUGGAGCAGGGUAAUGUGUGAUGGUGGAGCAGGGUAAUGUGUAAUGGUGGAGCAGGGUAGUGUGUGAUGGUGGAGCAGGGUAGUGUGUGAUGGUGGAGCAAGGUAAUGUGUAAUGAUGGAGCAGGGUAAUGUGUGAUGGUGGAGCAGGGCAAUGUGUAAUGGUGGAGCAGGGUAGUGUGUGAUGGUGGAGCAGGGUAGUGUGUGAUGGUGGAGCAGGGUAAUGUGUAAUGAUGGAGCAGGGUAAUGUGUAGUGAUGGAGCAGGGUAAUGUUUAAUGGUGGAGCAGGGUAGUGUGUGAUGGUGGAGCAGGGUAGUGUGUGAUGGUGGAGCAGGGUAAUGUGUAAUGAUGGAGCAGGGUAAUGUUUAAUGGCGUGUAGCCAGACACAACGCAGACAUGAAGGCCCUGCAAGCCCUCCGCAAUGAACC
rnacentral:lncRNA from 1 species